GACGAACGCUGGCGGCGUGCUUAACACAUGCGAGUCGAACGGAAAGGCCCUGCUUUUGUGGGGUGCUCGAGUGGCGAACGGGUGAGUAACACGUGAGUAACCUGCCCUUGACUUUGGGAUAACUUCAGGAAACUGGGGCUAAUACCGGAUAGGAGCUCCUGCUGCAUGGUGGGGGUUGGAAAGUUUCGGCGGUUGGGGAUGGACUCGCGGCUUAUCAGCUUGUUGGUGGGGUAGUGGCUUACCAAGGCUUUGACGGGUAGCCGGCCUGAGAGGGUGACCGGCCACAUUGGGACUGAGAGACGGCCCAGACUCCUACGGGACGCAGCAGUGGGGAAUAUUGCAGAAUGGGCGGAAGCCUGAUGCAGCAACGCCGCGUGCGGGAUGACGGCCUUCGGGUUGUAAACCGCUUUCGCCUGUGACGAAGCGUGAGUGACGGUAAUGGGUAAAGAAGCACCGGCUAACUACGUG
rnacentral:rRNA from 1 species